CUGGGAAUGCUUCUCCAACAGCUUGGAUGGAAGAUGCUUUGAGUGCCUUGAGGUCUCCUGCAGGGGUGUCCACAGGGAGGACUUUUCCAGCUCCUGAGCUUAUUCCUCUGCACAAGCCCAGCUCACAUGGCAGGGAGAUGGACCAAGGGGCUGUUCAGAAGUCAAUGUUCCCGGAAGGAAGCAGUGGCUCCGUGCCAGGGUCUGCUGAGGGAAGGGAGGCGAUGCCAGGCACGGGCACACGGGGUAAUUGCUGUGGCGUGGUCAGCCGGUGUCGGCCAUCGGGGUGGCUGUGUGGCAGCAGCUCUUCCCCCAGUGCCCGCUC